GCUAAUACAUGCAGUCGAGCGGACAGAAGGGAAGCUUGCUCCCGGAUGUUAGCGGCGGACGGGUGAGUAACACGUGGGUAACCUGCCUGUAAGACUGGGAUAACUCCGGGAAACCGGAGCUAAUACCGGAUAGUUCCUUGAACCGCAUGGUUCAAGGAUGAAAGACGGUUUCGGCUGUCACUUACAGAUGGACCCGCGGCGCAUUAGCUAGUUGGUGAGGUAACGGCUCACCAAGGCGACGAUGCGUAGCCGACCUGAGAGGGUGAUCGGCCACACUGGGACUGAGACACGGCCCAGACUCCUACGGGAGGCAGCAGUAGGGAAUCUUCCGCAAUGGACGAAAGUCUGACGGAGCAACGCCGCGUGAGUGAUGAAGGUUUUCGGAUCGUAAAGCUCUGUUGUUAGGGAAGAACAAGUGCAAGAGUAACUGCUUGCACCUUGACGGUACCUAACCAGAAAGCCACGGCUAACUACGUGCCAGCAGCCGCGGUAAUACGUAGGUGGCAAGCGUUGUCCGGAAUUAUUGGGCGUAAAGGGCUCGCAGGCGGUUUCUUAAGUCUGAUGUGAAAGCCCCCGGCUCAACCGGGGAGGGUCAUUGGAAACUGGGAAACUUGAGUGCAGAAGAGGAGAGUGGAAUUCCACGUGUAGCGGUGAAAUGCGUAGAGAUGUGGAGGAACACCAGUGGCGAAGGCGACUCUCUGGUCUGUAACUGACGCUGAGGAGCGAAAGCGUGGGGAGCGAACAGGAUUAG
rnacentral:rRNA from 1 species